rnacentral:rRNA from 1 species
AUGUUAAUUUAAUUUAAUAAAUAAUUUGUUUUAUUUUAUUUUUUUAUUAAAAUUAAUUUUUUUGUUAAAGUAUUAAUUAAAAAUAAAAUUUUUUAUUAAAUCCUGAAAAGAAUAAUUUUUUAAAUUUUUAAAAGUAAAAAUUUUAUUUGUACCUUUUGUAUCAGGGUAAAUUAAUUAUAUUUAAUGAUUUAUUUAUCCCGAAAUAUGAUGAUUAAAGAAAGCUUGAUAGUUAUUGUAACAUAAAUAUUAUUAAAUUUUUCUUGGAAAUGAAAUUUUAUCGACUCAUAUGAUAUCUGGUAUCUUAAGAAUUGAAUUCAAUUCAUGAUUAAUAAAAUAAUUUUAUUUUUAUUUUAAACUUAUAUAUUAAUCAAAUUAUAUCGAGGACAAGCUAGAUAUAAAUAACUAUAUUUGUUUUUAAAAUAUUUAGAUAGGCUUGAUAACAGCCAUUUUAGACUAAGUUAAAUUUCAAAAUUUAAUAUAACUUAUUUUUAAGUCAUUAGAUUAUUAUUAAGAAUAUCAAUAUAAUUAAAAAUUCAAUUUAAAAUGAUUUAAUUAGUAUAAAUUGUUUAAUUAUAAUUAUGAAUUAGGCAAAAAUAAUUUUCACCUGUUUAUCAAAAACAUGUCCUUUAGAAAAGAAAUUAAAGGUCUAAUCUGCCCAAUGAUUUUUGAAUGGCCGCGGUAAUCUGACCGUGCAAAGGUAGCAUAAUAAUUAGUCUUUUAAUUGAAGGCUGGAAUGAAGGAUUGAAUGAGAAAUUAACUUUAUUAACAUAAUUAUUUAUAAUUUAAUUUUUAGAUAAAAAAGUCUAAAUAUUUUAGUGGGACGAGAAGACCCUAUAGAGUUUAAAAUUAAUUUUUAAUUAUUGAAUUUAGAUUUAUUGAGUCAAUUAAUUAAUUAAUUAGUUUUUUGUUGGGGUGAUAUUAAAAUAAAUUUAACUUUUAAUAAAUUUAUCAUUAAUUAAUGUUUUAUUGAUCCAAUUUAUUUUUUGAAUGAAAGAUUAAAUUACCUUAGGGAUAACAGCGUAAUUAGUUUGGAGAGUUCAAAUCGAUAAAUUAGUUUGCGACCUCGAUGUUGGAUUAAGAUAAGAUAUUGGAGCAGAUUUCAUUAAAACUAGGUCUGUUCGACCUUUUAAUUCUUACAUGAUCUGAGUUCAAACCGGUGUAAGCCAGGUUGGUUUCUAUCUACUUAAUAAAUUUUAAUGUUAGUACGAAAGGACCACAUUAAAUAAUAAUAUUAU